CCGAGCCACGCCACCAAGAAGGAGAUUUUUAACUUCAGAUCUUGUCACAGGUUUUUGUGCUGACAAGAUGAACAUAGCAGCAGUAAAACAAUGGCUCUCAGCAGUGAAGGGACAACUUGAGAAGAAUCCUCUGGCAUCAAACAUUGGCUUUGCACUGAUCCUUCUCUGCUUUGAGAAAAUUGUAGAGUUGGAGUUUGUUUGUCCCUGUCAGUCGAAACUGAAUGCCGUCUCUGCUUUAUCAUUUUUCUCAGCUCCAGCUUUAAUUGUCUUUCUGCUCAUGCUUAGUACUGAACAUCCAUGUAAAUCGUGUAAAUCAUUUGUGGAAACUGUCCUUCAUGGUCUAGUUCCUGCUGUAACCUGGUGUAUAAUAUUGUUCAUGGAUGGACGUUAUUACGCCUGUUUUUGGACCAACUGGUCAGGACACUAUGAAACCAGUGAGACUGCUUCCCCUCUGAAAUGGUGUAAACCAGCUAAUUUGUCUCAUGGAGAGGAGAUCCAGACUCUGGAGUGGUACGCCACGUCUCAGGUCAUUGGACUCUGGGUUGCAGUUAUUCUCACUGCAGUUUUUAAGCUCUAUUUGUUCUGUAAGUCCUUCUGCUGCAAACAUCAAGAAGGAACAGACGAUGCAAAUAACGCUCAAGACAUCCAUCUACAGGUGCAGAACAGCGGAUGACAGAAAUUCAGAAAAGAAAACAAGGACAUCUGGGGGGGAAAAAGGAAUACCAAUUUGAACAGUCAGACAAAAUGCAGAAAAUCUAGAGUAACGUUAAAACAUGUUCUAGUUGGAUGCAAACAAUUAUUUAAGUGCUACGGCGGAUAAUAAAACAUUUGAAAGAUAUACUAAAUUUACUUCUAGUUAUAACAAAACAAUUUCUCUACUUUCAAGAUGUUAUGUUAAAUGGUUUGUUUUCUUAAAGGAUAUUUCCUGUUUACAUAAUUCAUUGUAUUAUA